rnacentral:tRNA from 2 species
AGGGGUAUGAUGGAAUUGGUAGACAUAGAUAACUUAGGAUUAUCUGAUCGUGAGAUUGUGUAGGUUCAAGUCCUGCUGCCCUUA